GAGCGCCGUAGCAAUACGGAGCGGCAGACGGGAGAGUAACACGUGGGAACGUGCCCUUCAGUUCGGAACAACCCAGGGAAACUUGGGCUAAUACCGGAUACGUCCGUAAGGAGAAAGAUUUAUCGCUGAAGGAUCGGCCCGCGUCUGAUUAGCUAGUUGGUGGGGUAACGGCCCACCAAGGCGACGAUCAGUAGCUGGUCUGAGAGGAUGAUCAGCCUCACUGGGACUGAGACACGGCCCAGACUCCUACGGGAGGCAGCAGUGGGGAAUAUUGGACAAUGGGCGCAAGCCUGAUCCAGCCAUGCCGCGUGAGUGAUGAAGGCCCUAGGGUUGUAAAGCUCUUUCAGCGGGGAAGAUAAUGACGGUACCCGCAGAAGAAGCCCCGGCUAACUUCGUG
rnacentral:rRNA from 1 species